CUGGUGUCAGCCGCCGCGGUAAUACCAGCACCUCGAGUGGUCAGGACGUUUAUUGGGCCUAAAGCAUCCGUAGCCGGCUCUGCAAGUCUUCGGUUAAAUCCACCUGCUCAACAGAUGGGCUGCUGGAGAUACUACAGAGCUAGGGAGUGGGAGAGGCAGACGGUAUUCAGUGGGUAGGGGUAAAAUCCUCUGAUCCAUUGAGGACCACCAGUGGCGAAGGCGGUCUGCCAGAACACGUUCGACGGUGAGGGAUGAAAGCUGGGGGAGCAAACCGGAUUAGAUACCCGGGUAGUCCCAGCUGUAAACGAUGCAAACUCGGUGAUGCAUUGGCUUAUGGCCAAUGCAGUGCCGCAGGGAAGCCGUUAAGUUUGCCGCCUGGGAAGUACGUACGCAAGUAUGAAACUUAAAGGAAUUGGCGGGGGAGCACCACAAGGGGUGAAGCCUGCGGUUCAAUUGGAGUCAACGCCAGAAAUCUUACCCGGAGCGACAGCAGAAUGAAGGUCAAGCUGAAGACUUUACCAGACAAGCU
rnacentral:rRNA from 2 species